rnacentral:rRNA from 1 species
CAACGCGAAGAACCUUACCUGGUCUUGACAUCCACAGAAGAAUCCAGAGAUGGAUUUGUGCCUUCGGGAACUGUGAGACAGGUGCUGCAUGGCUGUCGUCAGCUCGUGUUGUGAAAUGUUGGGUUAAAUCCCGCAACGAGCGCAACCCUUAUCCUUUGUUGCCAGCGAUUAGGUCGGGAACUCAAAGGAGACUGCCAGUGAUAAACUGGAGGAAGGUGGGGAUGACGUCAAGUCAUCAUGGCCCUUACGACCAGGGCUACACACGUGCUACAAUGGCGCAUACAAAGAGAAGCGACCUCGC